rnacentral:rRNA from 1 species
GACGAACGCUGGCGGCGUGCUUAACACAUGCAAGUCGAACGGAAAGGCCCUGCUUUUGUGGGGUGCUCGAGUGGCGAACGGGUGAGUAACACGUGAGUAACCUGCCCUUGACUUUGGGAUAACUUCAGGAAACUGGGGCUAAUACCGGAUAGGAGCUCCUGCUGCAUGGUGGGGGUUGGAAAGUUUCGGCGGUUGGGGAUAGACUCGCGGCUUAUCAGCUUGUUGGUGGGGUAGUGGCUUACCAAGGCUUUGACGGGUAGCCGGCCUGAGAGGGUGACCGGCCACAUUGGGACUGAGAUACGGCCCAGACUCCUACGGGAGGCAGCAGUGGGGAAUAUUGCACAAUGGGCGGAAGCCUGAUGCAGCAACGCCGCGUGCGGGAUGACGGCCUUCGGGUUGUAAACCGCUUUCGCCUGUGACGAAGCGUGAGUGACGGUAAUGGGUAAAGAAGCACCGGCUAACUACGUGCCAGCAGCCGCGGUGAUACGUAGGGUGCGAGCGUUGUCCGGAUUUAUUGGGCGUAAAGGGCUCGUAGGUGGUUGAUCGCGUCGGAAGUGUAAUCUUGGGGCUUAACCCUGAGCGUGCUUUCGAUACGGGUUGACUUGAGGAAGGUAGGGGAGAAUGGAAUUCCUGGUGGAGCGGUGGAAUGCGCAGAUAUCAGGAGGAACACCAGUGGCGAAGGCGGUUCUCUGGGCCUUUCCUGACGCUGAGGAGCGAAAGCGUGGGGAGCGAACAGGCUUAGAUACCCUGGUAGUCCACGCUGUAAACGGUGGGUACUAGGUGUGGGGUCCAUUCCACGGGUUCCGUGCCGUAGCUAACGCUUUAAGUACCCCGCCUGGGGAGUACGGCCGCAAGGCUAAAACUCAAAGGAAUUGACGGGGCCCCGCACAAGCGGCGGAGCAUGCGGAUUAAUUCGAUGCAACGCGUAGAACCUUACCUGGGUUUGACAUGGAUCGGGAGUGCUCAGAGAUGGGUGUGCCUCUUUUGGGGUCGGUUCACAGGUGGUGCAUGGCUGUCGUCAGCUCGUGUCGUGAGAUGUUGGGUUAAGUCCCGCAACGAGCGCAACCCUUGUUCACUGUUGCCAGCACGUUAUGGUGGGGACUCAGUGGAGACCGCCGGGGUCAACUCGGAGGAAGGUGGGGAUGACGUCAAGUCAUCAUGCCCCUUAUGUCCAGGGCUUCACGCAUGCUACAAUGGCUGGUACAGAGAGUGGCGAGCCUGUGAGGGUGAGCGAAUCUCGGAAAGCCGGUCUCAGUUCGGAUUGGGGUCUGCAACUCGCCCUCCUGAAGUCGGAGUCGCCUGUAAUCGCAAAUCCGCAACGCUGCGGUGAAUACUUUCCCGGGGCU